ACUCCUACGGGAGGCAGCAGUGAGGAAUAUUGGACAAUGGAUGGAAAUCUGAUCCAGCCAUGCCGCGUGCAGGAAGACGGCCCUAUGGGUUGUAAACUGCUUUUGUAUGGGAGCAAUAAGGUCUAUGCGUAGACUGAUGAGAGUACCAUACGAAUAAGCAUCGGCUAACUCCGUGCCAGCAGCCGCGGUAAUACGGGGGAUGCAAGCGUUAUCCGGAUUUAUUGGGUUUAAAGGGUGCGUAGGCGGUUUGAUAAGUCAGCGGUGAAAUAUUUCAGCUUAACUGAAAGGGUGCCGUUGAUACUGUCAGGCUUGAAUAUGGUUGCUGUGGGUGGAAUGUGUGGUGUAGCGGUGAAAUGCUUAGAUAUCACACAGAAUAUCGAUUGCGAAGGCAGCUCACAAAGCCAUUAUUGACGCUGAUGCACGAAAGUGUGGGGAUCAAACAGGAUUAGAUACCCUGGUAGUCCACACUGUAAACGAUGAUAACUCGCUGUCGGCGAUACACAGUCGGUAGCCAAGCGAAAGCGAUAAGUUAUCCACCUGGGGAGUACGACCGCAAGGUUGAAACUCAAAGGAAUUGACGGGG
rnacentral:rRNA from 1 species